UAAAGUGUAGCCUUAUCUAAAUAACUAUAAGUACACUUUUCUUACCAAAGAGAGCGCUUUUAAAGAGUAACCUAUUUGUUAUAUUUUAGAUGCACUUUUAAAGUGUUUCCUAAUGUAAGAAACCAAAUACAUAUACACACUUAGUGAAUUUUUUGUUUUCUUUUCACGUCACCCCCAAAAUUAAUCCCACACCCUUCGUCUUCAGAAACCUGCGCUCUUCUGCUUCAGAAAUCUCACCACCACCUUCGCCGUUUUCAUGCCCUCACCUUCGCUCACCACCACUCACCGGCGCCCUUUUCCUUCGUCUUCACCUUUUCUCACCACUCACUGUCGCAGCUCAUCAUCUUCUUCACCUUCACCUUUGUUGCCCUGUACACCGCGUACCCCGACCGUAGCGCCGCUACCAGUGACGUUGUCAACAGAAUGAUUCUCCCUCUGGCACCGCGCUUCACUCUGUUCGUUGCCUCCACCAGAACACGCCCGGGGUGUUCACAGCGAAGAUUUUGUCGAACGUCUCUGAUUGUGAGAUAAAUUGCAAUUUCUCGUCCGAUUCCACUAGAAGAGAUGGUGAUGAUUGCUACUCGGUCAUGAGUGGGUUAAUAGUUCGAAUUUGAAGAAUUAAUUAGGUUUUUUACAAGUUCAAAAUUAGGUUUUUUUGAAGUUAUUUAUUAUGAUGAAUUGCUGAUUUACUGCAGAUUGAGCAUUAAGAUCCAGUUGUAUCUUAUGCAUUCAUGAACGGUAACUGCCAAUGACUCAGAUCGAGUCUCCAUUUGGAACUGUGAACACCGACGGGGUUUUUAAUUUUGGGGGGUUUUUGGGAUUCUGAGUCACCGCAAGUCACCUCUCACCGCCAUUGCUGCUCUGCUCUCUGCUCGCCCACUCUUCGUCACUGCCUUUAUAACUGUAAGCAGGGCAGUAACUGCUUGGAAAUUAGUUCUUGCUGGGCGCUUUCCACUGCUUCAUCAAUGGUGUGACUUUGUUAAGGAUAAUUCUGAAGAUGUGAGUGAAGAUUGAGAUGUUUAUCAUGAUGGUUUAUUGGCAAAGAUGGAGCUAGUGUUGGAAAUUGAAAGAUGUAUGGUUGAUGAUGAUGUCUUUUAUUAGAAGAUAUAUUAGUAGUAAACUCUAAUUGGUCUCAUGCAUAAUUUGAUGAGUAUACUUAUUCUAGUGUGAGAUGUAUGAAUACUCAAAAUUAUGAUCAUUUCGAUAUUUUUGGUUCAUUAU